GGCCCUGUGGCGCAAUGGAUAGCGCAUUGGACUUCUAAUUCAAAGGUUGUGGGUUCGAGUCCCACCAGAGUCG
rnacentral:tRNA from 1 species